GGGGCGAUAUUCUAACGGUAAGAUAGCGCCACCUUGGGCCAAACCCCCCCAAGUCCUAGUUCGGCAACGGCGCUGAUGCCGGUUCAAAUCCGGCUCGCCCCA
rnacentral:tRNA from 1 species